rnacentral:rRNA from 1 species
UACGGAGGGUGCGAGUGCUGUUCGGAAUUACUGGGCGUAAAGAGCGUGUAGGCGGUUUGGUAAGUCAGGUGUGAAAGCCCUGGGCUUAACCCAGGAAGUGCACUUGAAACUGCCUCACUUGAGUAUGGGAGAGGAGAGUGGAAUUCCCAGUGUAGAGGUGAAAUUCGUAGAUAUUGGGAGGAACACCCGUGGCGAAGGCGACUCUCUGGACCAAUACUGACGCUGAGACGCGAAAGCGUGGGGAGCAAACAGG